AUAAACCUCAAUACCCCAUCCGAUAUGAGGGUGAAGCGGGCCGUCCCCAUACCCCGUCCGGUAUGAGCCCCAAAAUAUUUAAAGUCUCCAUACCCCAUCCGGUAUGAGAGACAACAUUCCCGGUAGGGUUCCCCAUGAAUCCGGUCCGUCCACCAUCUCCUAAAAUAUCUAGUGAGGCUGUCGACUUAUCCAUUUAUCAACUUACAUACCUUUUCUCUUUUUCCUUAGUUUUCUGUUUCUCACAUAAUCAUAAAUAUUUAAACCAGUAACGAGCAUCCAACAAUGCAGAUAUAUCAUCAGAUUCACAAAAUCAAGCCAUAAUGAAGUAAACAGUGAUUCAUGCAUUCA
rnacentral:lncRNA from 1 species